GGGGAAGAAUCCACCAUUCCAGCUCAGGCUAUUCUGCUGCCAGCUCCUCCCCUCUGUGAGCAAUGUUCCUGACUUCAGACCUUGCCUGAACAUUCUCCAUAGCACUUGCCUUCUUUGCCCUGAAAUCAAGGUCUGACAGUACUCUACUCCCAGAGCUAUCUCAUUGGCCACAUAUCCUGUAUGGUUGGUUGGCUGGUUGGCUGGUUUGGUUGGAGACAGGGCCUCCAUAUGCAGCUGUGGAACAUAUUAUGUAAACCAACCUGGGCUUCAAACCCACAGAGAUCUGCUUGCCCCUGCCUCCCAAGCAAUGGAAUUAGAGAUACUGCUACCUGCUGAGAGGCCCCCCUGAACUAUUCCGGA
rnacentral:lncRNA from 1 species